CCGAGUUAUCCAACUCCCAACCCCUGUGAGUCAUACCUUUAAUUGUUGCUUCGGCGGGACUUCGCGCCCGCCGGGGACCCGAACCUUCUGAAUUUUUUAAUAAGUAUCUUCUGAGUGGUUAAAAAAAUGAAUCA
rnacentral:misc_RNA from 1 species